GCAAACUUGGUCAUUUAGAGGAAGUAAAAGUCGUAACAAGGUCUCCGUUGGUGAACCAGCGGAGGGAUCAUUACCGAGUCUCGAACUCACCAAACCCCUGUGAACAUACCAGUGUUGCUUCGGCGGUCGACCCCUCCGCCCUCCCCUCACCGGGUGGGCGGCGUGGUUCCGCCAGAGGACCAUAUGAAAACUCCUGUUUUUUUCAGAAAGGAUUCCGCUCUGAGUAAACCAAAGAAAACCAUUAAAACUUUCAACAACGGAUCUCUUGGCUCUGGCAUCGAUGAAGAACGCAGC
rnacentral:misc_RNA from 1 species